rnacentral:rRNA from 1 species
UACGAAGGGGGCUAGCGUUGUUCGGAAUUACUGGGCGUAAAGCGCGCGCAGGCGGCUAUCCAAGUCAGUGGUGAAAGCCCGGAGCUCAACUCCGGAACUGCCAUUGAAACUGUUUAGCUUGAGGACGAGAGAGGUGAGUGGAAAUUCCCAGUGUAGAGGUGAAAUUCGUAGAUAUUGGGAAGAACACCGGUGGCGGAGGCGGCUCACUGGCUCGUAUCUGACGCUCAGGCGCGACAGCGUGGGGAUCGAAACAGG